rnacentral:misc_RNA from 1 species
GAUGAAGAACGCAGCGAAAUGCGAUACGUAAUGUGAAUUGCAGAAUUCAGUGAAUCAUCGAAUCUUUGAACGCAUAUUGCGCUCUCUGGUAUUCCGGAGAGCAUGCUUGUUUGAGUAUCAGUAAACACCUCAACUUCCAUAUCUUUUUUGAAAUGGGAGUUGGACUUGAGUGAUCCCAACGCUUUUCCUCACCGAAAAGUGGCGGGUUACUUGAAAUGCAGGUGCAGCUGGACUUUUCUCUGAGCUAUAAGCAUAUCUAUUUAGUCUGCCUAAAAAACAGAUUAUUACCUUUGCUGCAGCUAACAUAAAGGAGAUUAGUUCUUGUGCUGACUGAUGCAGGAUUCACAAAGACGGCUUCGGCCGACUUUGUAAUCUCGAUCUCAAAUCAAGUAAGACUACCCGCUGAACUUAAGCAUAUCAAUAAGCGGAGGA